UACGUAGGGGGGCAAGCGUUGUCCGGAUUUAUUGGGCGUAAAGAGCGUGUAGGCGGCUAGGUAGGUCCGUUGUGAAAACUCGAGGCUCAACCUCGAGACGUCGAUGGAAACCAUCUGGCUAGAGUCCGGAAGAGGAGAGUGGAAUUCCUGGUGUAGCGGUGAAAUGCGCAGAUAUCAGGAAGAACACCCGUGGCGAAGGCGGCUCUCUGGGACGGUACUGACGCUGAGACGCGAAAGCGUGGGGAGCGAACAGG
rnacentral:rRNA from 1 species